UAGGUCGACCCGCUGAAUUUAAGCAUAUCACUAAGCGGAGGAAAAGAAACUAACCAGGAUUCCCCUAGUAACGGCGAGUGAAGAGGGAAAAGCCCAGCACCGAAGCCUGUGGCAAUUUUGCUGCUAGGCAAUGUGGUGUUUAGGUCGGCUCGUGGGAUCGCCACUCCACUCGAAGUCCAGCAUUGAGUAUGGUUCCCAGGAAUUGGCCCAUAGAGGGUGAAAGGCCCGUACGAGUGGAUGUGUCAGAUAUGUAAGGCGAUUCACCAGGCCGGCCUUAGAGUCGGGUUGUUUGCGAAUGCAGCCCAAAGUGGGUGGUAAACUCCAUCCAAGGCUAAAUACUAGCACGAGUCCGAUAGCGAACAAGUACCGUGAGGGAAAGUUGAAAAGUACUUUGAAGAGAGAGUAAACAGUACGUGAAACCGCAUAGAGGUAAACGGGUGGCGUCAAGCUGCAAGCCCAGAGAAUUCAGUCGGUCAGGGUGUUGUCAUGCGCCCAGCGCAUCUAUCAGUCGGUGUAGGAUUUGGCUAGUCCGCUUGAAGAUGGCGGGCCCAGCUAGCAAUAGCUGGGAUUUGCGUACCGGGCGGUAGCCGGAGCAUGCUAGCCGUCUGUAGGACUGCCUGGCCGAUGCACUUUCUCUGUUGGUGAACACCACGACCGGUGGUACUGCCAGUCUGCUGUAGCCAGCUUCGUUGCAUACUCUGGCCUUUUGGUUGGGGCGUGUGGCGAUCACAGACAAUUUCAGUGCACGGUGCUUGUGUGUUUUUCGCAUGCGGGCAUGUUAUCGGGAACUGGUUGUAAACGGGUCGGCCUGUCGACUUGUCUGUAGUCGUGGUUGAUGGGUGACCCGGUGGGCUAUGGUGGUAUGAAUAACUGUGCAGGGCACCGGAGUUUUCGGUCCGACCAGCAGUAGUCGUUCGCGGCUGCUGUUGCCGGCUGCAUACGCACUGCAGUUUAGCGUGUGCACUGUCUUUGGCAGUAGUACGGGCGGCGCUGUUUACGGCCUGCCAGUCGUUGGGUCUGAUUGUCGUGUCGCCUGCCAAAAUGGUGGGUCCGGCGGUGGCCUGGCGUUGGAUGGUGCCUGUAGACGGAGCUGUCGUUGUGCAGCCGGUAUUUGUGUGCGCGACCUUAUAGUCUGUGGUGUAGUGGUAGACGAGCUACCCGACCCGUCUUGAAACACGGACCAAGGAGUUUAACAUGCGCGCGAGUCAUUGGGUCCUACGAAACCCAGAGGCGCAGUGAAAGUAAAGCUUCGACAUAUAUUGUUCUCGGGGUGUGGUGAGAUCCUGCUGUUUCUCGCAUACAUUUGUCCAGCACUGGGCUAACUAAACGAGCAGUGGGCGCAUCACCGGCCCGUCCCAUGAUGUGGCUAUCUGUCAGUGGCAGUUGUCGCCUUACGGUGGUGGUUGCUUUCUGCGGGUACGUCAUCGGGGCGGAGCAUGAGCGCGCAUGUUGAGACCCGAAAGAUGGUGAACUAUGCUUGCGUAGGUUGAAGCCAGAGGAAACUCUGGUGGAGGACCGCAGCGAUUCUGACGUGCAAAUCGAUCGUCAAACGUGAGUAUAGGGGCGAAAGACUAAUCGAACCAUCUAGUAGCUGGUUCCCUCCGAAGUUUCCCUCAGGAUAGC
rnacentral:rRNA from 1 species